rnacentral:lncRNA from 1 species
GGAGAAUGAAGGAACAAAGUGGGUCAUGCUUUGUUUUAUUCUUGAACCUUUAGUCCCAUGUAUGAAUCCUGAGUGUUACCCUCCUGAAUGCUGUGCACUACAGAAUGAACUUUAGUUCACAGUAAAUGAGGGAUGCUUUUUCUUAAGAAAUAAAUUUAAUUCAAGGUGGUUAGUGAAUGUGAGGCAAUGUAAUGCCUUCACGAAAGUUAAAGUAAUCCAGUUACAAAAGAAGCACUGUGUAUAGUCUCAAAUAGCUGAAGGUACAAUGGGCUCCAUAUUUUACAAAGUACAAAAAAUUAUUUCAUAUACAAAGAAAAAUACAAAUAAUGUGCAAAAACCAUUUUCACAGGUGGCAAUUUAUAAAAUGGAAAUGAUAGAAAAGUCCUUCAUUCUUAAUUAUCCCCGAAUUUCUUAUAUAUUAACACAGUUCUAUUUCCUAGUGUGUAGACAAUUUUAAAUUUGAAAUUCUGAUUUAUUUUUAAUCUACAAAGUAUUUUUAUUUUUUAAAAGGGAACCAUUUCAUUAUUGAAAUCUUAUGAAUGCAUCAGUUAAUUUAUAUUAAAUUAUAAGCAGGCUAUCUGAAAAACAAGGAUAUAGAAAUCAUAUAUACACAUUUUUGAAAUAUUAGUUUAGUAUUUAACAUAUUAACAUUUCAAAACAAAUGCAAUGAUCUAGCUACCUAUGACGCCAGCUGGUGUCAGUGGUUGUAGCGAAGAUGCUGUUUCUGUUUGUUUACCAUGAGCAAACAGCAUUUCUUGGGUCUUAAGCUAAACAAUCACAAGUUAUCAAAGUAAAGAAAAUCUAAAGACAGUUCUUACUUUUCAUGUGUAGAAGUGUAGUUUGGGUAUCCAGUCAUGCCACAGUGUGACUGUGGUCAACACAGCCCUUGUCACAGGUGCGUAUGGUCCUAAAUAGCUGGCCUCUGUCUUUCCAACAUCUUCACUUCAUUGGGAAUUCAGUGCAAGUGUUUGUUUUGUGAGUUAGUGCAUUCAGCUUUUUUUGCAUGUUAUUUUGAAAAAGAAACUGUCAGGAAGCAGAAGAUACAUAAGAACACAAGGCUCUGGAUCCUCAGAGCACCUCUGGUCUAGAGAAUUCAGUGUUUUGGAAGUAGUGUUUUCCUGCAUUGGGCUGGUCAUUGUUGUACCAUUCCCUGGAUAAUCUUUUUCCAUCAGAAUAAUGCUGUGUGCUCCCUCUUUGCCUGCUACUGAACAAUGACGUCUCUUGUUGUGAACCCCACUGGCAGAGCACGGACCAUGGAAGCAUCUUUUGGCAGCACCAGAGAACUGAGCAUCUCAAAGGUCAGGCAUUACAAGUAGAUGUCUCUCAUAGGAAACCUAAUCCAGGUAGAAUAUGAGACAAUCUUGGAGGGUUUUGAUUUUUGCUUGUUAAACAGGUCUCCAAGGAAAUUAUGACCUCAGAGAACAAAAAAGGAUCUAUAGCUUUCAUGAAGAAGGACGCAAGUAGGUGGUAGCCAUUUUGCCUGGGUGAGGUUCACAGUUGGCUCAGGAGACAUCUUCUGAUCAUUAACCACUAAGACCCUGUUAGAAAAAUUUAGUGCAAGAUACAGGGAGUGCAUGGGGCUGUUGACCAGACCUGUGUGAAACACCUGUUCAGGUUAAGUAGAUAUAGCAACCCCUGCAAGAGGGGACUGGGCAGGAGAACCUCAGGCCCCGGGAUAACUUGUUGUCAGCUCCUCAAGGAUCCAUGCUUCUUUUUCUAUCUGGCAGCAUGAGUUCUUCUGUUUCUUCUGCGUGGGUUGACCAUGGGCAUCAGGCAUCAGAGAUACAACUCUGGAUUUUGUCCAUCCAUUGCUGGGCACUCUGUCCAUCCUGGGCGCAGAAGUUAUACACACGUUUGCUGGUCUUGAGCUACAAAACCAAAUGACAGUGAACCAGAGAUGAAAGGCAGGGCUGUUUUAUGGAUUUGGGCAUGGUAUGAGCAGGGCUAAGUGGAAAAAACUGUAUCUUUCAUGUUAAAGAAGUCCAGAAGACUGACCUCUGGGGAAAGACUGCUGCUUUCUGCUGGGAUUACCACAUCUGUGAGGCUUGGAAUGAUCAGUAGCCAUCCUUUGUGCCAUGUUGGGACUGACAUAACACAGAGAGAGGGCAAAGCAGAGCCGGGAAGUGGAUAGAAGAUACUGUGUGAGAAGCUAGCAUACCCUUGGCUGUCCUAGCUUAUGUGAGUAAAUUCCUUUUUGCUUCAGCUAGCAUAAGCUGGAUUUCUGAUGUUUGCCACUGACAAAGUGCUGGCUAACACAUAUUCCCUCAAACGUUCUGGCAGACAGGAGAUAAGAGCCAUCAGGACUCAACUACAAAUAACUACAA